rnacentral:rRNA from 1 species
AUGAACGCUGGCGGCGUGCCUAAUCCAUGCAAGUCGAGCGAACGGACGAGUAGCUUGCUUCUCUGAUGUUAGCCGAGGACGGGAGAGUAACACGUGGAUACCCUAUCUAUAUGUUUGGGGUAGCUUCGGGAGACCGGCUCUCAUAAAGGCUGCUAUCUUGCACCGCAUGGAACCAAAGUAAAUGACGAUCUUGCUCUCACUUAUAGAUGGAUCCGCGCUGCAUUAGCUAGUUGGUAAGGUAACGGCUUACCAAGGCAACGAUGCAUAGCCGACCUGAGAGGGUGAUCAGCCACACUGGAACUGAGACACGGUCCAGACUCCUACGGGAGGCAGCAGUAGGGAAUCUUCCGCAAUGGGCGAAAGCCUGACGGAGCAACGCCGCGUGAGUGAUGAAGGUCUUCGGAUCGUAAAACUCUUUUAUUAGGGAAGAACAUAUGUGUAAGUAACUGUGCACAUCUUGACGGUACCUAAACAGAAAGCCACGGCUAACUUCGUG